AUAAUUCACUUAAUAGUGCUACUUAAUUAACGGUAUUUUAUUAAAUAACACCAGAGCUAGGCUCUUAUGCUUUCGAAAAUACGGACGCCUCCGUGCUUGUAAGUUGUUUUUGAUGAUGGAGCAUCCGAUUCGGCGAUCGGCUCCGUUAAACAUGAUUUAUGCUAUUGGAACAUUUAGAAACCAAAUUUUAUUAUUUUUUGACUUCAUUUGUCUAGUGAACGAAUAGGCUCAAAAUGAACGACUGAAAAUAAAAAAUCUCAAAAAAAAUAAUGAUAAAAGACUCAAAUUUGAAAUCGAAAGUAUUGUUCUUACUCUUGAUGUUAAGUAAAUUUUUUUAAAAAUGUUUCAUAUAAUUUGAAUUCUUCUACACCGUCGAACUUUCAAACGUGCCACAUCGGCCGUUAAAAUAGUCAUUUUUGAGACUUUUUGAUUAUUUGGUAAAUAUGUCGAAGAAUUAUGAAAUCUAGUUUCUAAAUAAUUCUAAUAGUAUAGAUCAUGCCUAACAAAGCCGAUCGCCGGAUUGGACACCCCAUCAUCCAAAACAACUUACAAGUACGGAGGUUUCCGUACUUUCGAAAGUAUAGGAGACGUACUCAAUAACACCAUAUCUUAUAUAUUAUGAGAAAGCACAUAAAGCGCGCAAAUAAAGAAAAAUUGGAGUAUGUAUAUUGGAUUCUAGAAGCUGAAGCUGCAGGUCUUAGUAGCUGUCAAAUGUUUGAUAAUGCGAAGGAAAAAAAAAGA
rnacentral:lncRNA from 1 species